rnacentral:misc_RNA from 1 species
CCAAAAGAUAAUCUUUCACUCGAAAGAUCUUUUCCUUUGUGCUGGCUUUGACCGUAUGUAAUUUUGGGACUUAAACAUGGUAGCCUUACGGUUGCCGGUCCCAAAAACAAUAUAUCAUCCUUAUGAAAACUUACUGAACAACUAAACAAUGAUUUAAUAAUCUGUUUAAAA